UACGAAGGGGGCUAGCGUUGUUCGGAAUCACUGGGCGUAAAGGGUGCGUAGGCGGGUCUUUAAGUCGGGGGUGAAAUCCUGGAGCUCAACUCCAGAACUGCCUUCGAUACUGGAGAGCUUGAGUCCGGGAGAGGUGAGUGGAACUGCGAGUGUAGAGGUGAAAUUCGUAGAUAUUCGCAAGAACACCAGUGGCGAAGGCGGCUCACUGGCCCGGUACUGACGCUGAGGUGCGAAAGCGUGGGGAGCAAACAGG
rnacentral:rRNA from 1 species